UUCAGCUCUAGACGCUGGGUAUCGGGGCUGGCUUUAGGAAUUGCGGGGCCCAAUUCGAACAGUUUCGACAGGGCCCCAGCAGGGAUGACUUUAAAAAAACAAAAAAAAACC